CAGACAGUGCAUGCUGGCCUCGGAGGAGGAGAGGGCAGCUGGGAUACCUCUGCGAGUUUCCCUCAGCACUCCGAGAGCCGCGGAAGGCGCAAACUGCUCUUGUGACCUCCCCAGUAAGCUGCGCCUCUGCCGUGCCUUCUCCUUGCUUGCUGUGUUCCGCGGUCUGGCCCGCAUCACCCCGCUGCCCUGAGCCGAGCCUGCCCUCGGCCCGUUCACCAACUGUUAAACCAGGGUCCUGAGUCUACAGGUUCUAGGUUUGGCUUCACCCCUGAGAGCAGUGUCCCAUGCAGCAGGCUCAGUGCUCCUCUCCGCGGAGCCUUCCUUUGGUGUCUUGGCGCCUCUCUCACAAGAAGCCAGCGCUGUUUGUUGGCAACAAGAUUCUUUGCCACUCAGAAACAAUCAAGAUUCCUCCUCCAGGGCACGAAUGGACUUGACUGUCUUUGCCUGGUGAACUGCCAUCCAGGAUCCCCCACCCACACAUUUUUGACCAUUCAAAAAUGAGCUGAGAGCCCUAGGAGAGUGCCAGGAAGGCCUAGCAAAACAGGAGGACGGUAAGAGAAGCGGUCCCACAUACAGUGGGAGUGUACCAUUAUCAUUUAGGCCUCUGGACACCACCGGAGUCCUCACUUUCUUCAGCGUAAUUUUGAGCCUCUGACGGGAAAUCUCAAUUCCAAAUUCCCAGAAGACGGCGUUGGUAAGAAAGGAGUGCUGGAUGAAGACUGUGGACCCAGGAGCUCCUUCACCAAAGGCGGCCCCAUCACCAGCUCAUACAGCCCUGCUGGUGGUGUUCUGCGCAUUUGCAGAGUGAUCCAGGUGCAGCAGGGCUCUCUGCCUAUGGCAUCGUGCUGCCUGCUGCUCAAGAGAUGGGCACAGGAAGUGCUAGAAGCGGCCAUGGGUCCAGCUCCCCAGCCUUGCUGAGCCAGGGAAGAAGAUGCAGAGAAAAAGCUUCCAAAGACACGGUCAAGGUAAAAACCCUCAGAGAUGAUUAUGAAGAUCUCUAUGCAUACAAACUAGAAAACCUAGAAGAAAUGGAUAAAUUCCUGGAAACAUAAAACCUCCCAAGUUUGAACCAGGAAGAAAUUGAAACCCUAAACAAAGACUCCAUCAAGGAAGAAUUCUCCACCCACAUCUUGAGUUGAAGGCCUUGUAAAUGGAAAAUGUCAAGGCUGUUAAUGCUGCCCGGGCUGCUGCUGUCUGCCACUGCUCCUUUGCCAUCACUGGGGACAUUUGUGAUCAGAGCACAUCUACAGCUAGAAGGGACACCACCAUACCGGUAUUUGGAAAUACUUAUCUUCCCACUUUUUGUUGGAAUACCUGGGGAUCCCUGGCUAAUGCCUGAGUAGAACAUAUCUGACAGUGUACCUAUGCUUGAAGGUACCACUAUUCUUGCGUACACUUAGAGCACCCGGGGCUCACCUAUCCAGAGCACAGGUAGUGAAUAGGAACAGUCAGCACCACACCUGUGCUGGGAGAUACUACUGUUCCCGGCAACAUUCAGAGCAUGUGGAGAGCUUAUGGCCAGAGCACAUCUGUUGCAGUCAUAGGAGAAAAUGCCCUACAGUUUUAGGGGAUUCUUCUAGUCUCACCUAGGUCAGAACAUCGGGAGCUCACCCACCCAAUGUACCCUCUUUGACUUUGGAGGAGCCAGCACCACUGAGAAAAAUACCUAUGUGUGGAGACAUUUUUGCCACUACCUUUGGUCAGAGCAACUGUGCUUCCUGUGUACACAAGCAAGAAUCAACCUUGCUUUUAGGUUACCCUUGUCGUCUACCCAAGGCUUAACUGGAGACAAAUGUUGGGCCACAAACCCAUUCAUUAUCUUCCAGUAGAAGACCCAGGAUCUCAGCAAUUAAGGGAAAACUUCUACAAGCAGCAGGUCACCACAGUUCCCCAUAAAUGGACCUUACUCUGCUGAAGAGAGGCUCAAUCUCUUCUACUUGUGUCAAAUAAACUUCAGUUGCUCUCUGUCUUCCUCCAUCAAGCUGAAGGCUCACACCUGUGUGUGUGUGUGUUUUAGAGAUGUGAGACAGAUGAGGCUGGUCAAAUGUCAACAUACUGAACUUAAGGAGUACAACUGUGGAGAGUAGAAGAGUGAUCUGCACACAUUGUCAAUGGUGCCAUCCCUGGCUUUCACUGUUGGUCUGGCAGACCCUUCUCUGGAACAGUUUUCUUCUGGUCUUGGAACUGGCAGGAUGCCCACAGCUGCCUACAGCUGUCUCUUUUCCACUUGCCUCAAUGAGCUCUUAUCUUUCUUUUCACCAUUAAAAAUCAUAAAUCUUUUUUUUUUCUGUUAAUUUGUCCUGUGCUCACAAGUCUUUUACUCUGUGACUCAACUGUGAAGGAAGAAUUGACUUGUAUUAAGUGGUGACAUGUUGAGCCAGACUUAAAUGCGCAACAUUUUCUACAGUCCAGUGAAUAAGAUGUGGAAUUAAUCAUGCUUAAUCACUGCACACGGUGACUUCUGCAGUCUCUGUGUUUUGAGUGUAAAGAUGGUGACCCAAGAGGAAGGAAGAUCCAGAGAAGGGAGAGACAGUGUGAGUGGCCCUUGCCUCUCCUCUCUGGGCUUCUCUUCCACCAUCUGACCUCACUGAAAGCCAGCCUAUCCCCAACUCUAAACCACACUUUACAAUUUUAGUUGUCGUAAAUAUUUACAUGUUCUUUUUGUGCUGUUUUCAUUAAUUAAACUUAGGCCAAUCCCCACACAUUUCCAUUUCAACCAGAGAGUAUAGAUUUGGCAUCCAUGCUCUUGAGCCUGGAAGUGUGAGGAAAGAAAAAGUUCACAUCUGCUCUGCAGUUAUUGAGAUUUUUAAGUCUAGGAUGUAACAUAUUACUUGACACUCUCAUCAUGAUGCUUAAAAUAUCAGGAACUACCUGGACGUGGCCUAUUUGGAAAAAUAACCUGUCUGGCUCUAGUCCAAACCACUGAAAUAUCAAAUUGCAAAAGUUACAAUUUCACCCAGAUUCAGCUGACCCUAGAGUUCCACUGUCUCCACUAGACUUAGUUGCUGAAAAUGCAAUCUUUUCUAAUACAGUUUACAACCCAGGAAAACCACUUUAAGAUGGGGGAAAGAGAAAAUUACCUCUUACCCCAGAGGAAUUUACAAGCUAGUGUGGGAGACAGAUGAAUAAACCAAAAAUUACAACUGGAGAGGCAAAUGUUAGGGUGAUGGGAGCGGGUAAGAAGGACACAAAACUACGUUUGGGAAAUGACUUCUGUUCUGUGCCAGAGAGGAGAUGGUGGCAUGCAUUUAAAAACUCCAGGUGCCCUUAAAGUGGUUGUAUAAGGAGAGGCCUUGAAUUAACUCCAGAAAUGUUCUGCACAAAACUCUGAGAUAUCAUAUAGCUUCUCCCAAUCUUUCCUUCCUUACCUGCAAAAUGUAAAAAUACUCGCUGCCUCCUAAAGCAGGUAGAAGACAUGCAUGUGAUUUGGGAGAUGUAAAAUACACAAGAUAAUAAAUCAGAGAGGCUGAGUUUAAAUACUGCCUGUAGCACUCAAUAGUUGUGUGAUCCUGGUGAGGUACUUAAUCUUUCUACAAAAUAGAACUAAUAAUAGUGACAAAUUUAUUAAAUUCUGAGAAUUAAAAUAAUUAUAAUACAUUAGGCAUUUAAAACACUGCUUGGUACACAGAAGGUGAAAUAUAGGGGUUUGUCACUUAUUUCAAAAUGUUAAUUAUUUAUAGAAUUACUAACAUAUGUUUUAUUAAUAUAUAAUCCCUUCAAGAUUGGUAUUAUGGUACUGUAAGCCUGAGAUCCUAGUAAAGAUUUAAUCAGCUAGUCUGAGAAUGUUUUGGGGGGAAAUGAAUUGUUGAUCUUUAUCACUUUCUUUUCUAUAAUUACCAACUCUGUUUGACUCUCCAGGGAGCAGAAUAAUUAAGAUUGUUAAGAGGAAUCAGGGAGCUAAAUAUUAUUGCACUUUGAAAUACUUCUCUGAUACGGAGAAUUCCUCCUCCAGUUGAGUUUGUACACACAAUUUGAGAGAAGCCUACCUGCAUAUAUGCCUGAAAUGGCACCCAAUUUUGUAUCCUGAGGCCUCAGGGAUGGGGCACCCACAGUGUAGAAGUUGGAGCAGUAGGAGUAAAUUUAGUUUUUCUUCUACAGGAGGUGCUUGUCAACAGAGCUACAUGCUUUUCACUGAAAGGUUAAGGGCAGACAGAUUUGACAGAACAGAGGGGUUCCACAUUAAAGGCUUCGAGUAGAAAUGUCUGUCACUUCCCUCAAUAGUUACCAGUAGCCAUAUGGUGCUGCAGUGACAGGUCUGGGAAUUUCAGAGCAAGUUGUAGGCUGCACUUGAGGAGCCUUCUGGGGUCAGUGGAUGGGGGACAGGUUAAAGGAAAAUAACAACUUUUACUUUUAUUCAAUAAAUG
rnacentral:lncRNA from 10 species